rnacentral:lncRNA from 1 species
AUUUAUUAUUAAAUAAUAAAUCUAAUAUCUAUCUUCUAUACUACUCGACUACUAAGAAAGCUAGAAUACUCAAUUUAAUUCUACUUAAUUAUCAGAUUAAUAAAUAGAAACAGUGAGUGGACUAUGAGAGGAGUAUAGCCAUUUUGGGAAAUAGAUGAUCUGAGAGUUGUAAGAGAUUGGCAAUAUAACAUGGAAAACUCAAGCACAAAUUGCCUAUUCCUGAAUGCUAUUAUUAUAGCAGAGGAGGAUAAGUGGAAAAGAAUAAUUCAUGCUGUGGGUAAUUCUAGUUUACCUACCGGAAGAAAACACCAAAACAGGAAAUAAACAGAGGGAAAUAAUCAACUCUCAGCCCCAAGAAAUAUGUUAUUGUUUAUGUAAAAGAAGGAUGUCAUACAUUGUUACAGUCACAAAUACAUCUUAUAACUUAUUACAGCAUUUGGAUUCCAUUGGUUUUUUGUGUCCAGUUUUAUUAUUGGCUUUACUAGUUGAUUUAGC